GACGAACGCUGGCGGCGUGCUUAACACAUGCAAGUCGAACGGUGGAGCUCCAGCUGCCUGGAGUGGAUCAGGGGCGAACGGGGGAGGAACACGUGAGCAACCUGCCCCUGACUCUGGAGUAGGCGCUGGAAAGGGCGUCUAAGCCAGGAUACGAGACGGGUCCGCAUGGGCACUUUCUGAAAUUUUUUUCGGUUGGGGCUGGGCUCGCGGCCUAUCGACUUGUUGGUGGGGGAGUGGCUCACCAAGGCAACGGCGGGUAGCCGGCAUGGGAGCGCGACCGGCCACCAUGGUACUGCGACACGGCCCAGACUCCUACGGGAGGCAGCAGUGGGAAAUAUUGCCCAAUGGGCGCACGCCUGAUGCAGCGACGCCGCGUGUGGGAUGCCGGCCUUCGGGUUGUAAACCUCUUUCAGCAGGGAAGAAGCGAAAGUGACGGUACCUGCAGAAGAAGCACCGGCUAACUACGUG
rnacentral:rRNA from 1 species